AAUCUAUUCCCUCCGUCCGGAAAUACUUGUUAGAGAAAUGCAUAAAAAUGGAUGUAUCUAGUUUAGAAUUAAAAUAUAUCUAGAUACAUCCAUUCCUCCGACGAGUAUUUCCGGACGGAGGGAGUAUAAU
rfam:Triticum aestivum genome assembly, contig: Triticum_aestivum_CS42_TGACv1_scaffold_570406_7AS